UAAAUAUACAAUUAAAAAAAAAAUCUUAAAUUAACGAAGCUUUAUUUUCGCUCUCCCCAAUUUUCUCCCUCUUCACCUUCGUUUUCUCUCUCUCCUCUGCGGUCGCCGUUUCUUCUUCACCGCCGAAUCUCUCCGCCAUUGCGUAGUUUCUCAUUGAUGUUGGGGGGUUGAUUGUUGCAGUAGCUCCACCCUCCAUCUCAUUUGUCUUUGCGAUCUCCCUUGUCUCCAGUCACUGCGCUCUCCCUCGUCUCCAGUCUGUACCGCCGCCGCCAACGGUGGUCCUGAAUCCACCAUCAACUAGGCAGAGAUGAAGAAUAGACCAGAAGAUUCGAGUCACCCUAAUUUGAAGAAAUCGUUCAACUAUUCAGGUGAAUUAAGUUGCCCAUGGCCGAAGUGUGAUGGGUUUAAUCGGGUGGGUCUGCAUCAGCUGCUACAACAACAUUUUUGGCUCUUUGAGUCAGUCGAGUGACCACGUUUAAUGCUAACGCAUACAAUCAGAUGGGUUCUGCAUCUGCUCUACAUCACCGUCUUUGGCUCUUGGAGUGACAAAGUUGAGAGGUGUUUGCAUGAUAUCUUCGCUAUUUGGUAAAUAUGAAGAUGGGGACAUCGUGAAUAAGUUACAAGAGAUGUAUGAGGUACUCAAAAAUUCGAGGGAGGAGCCUUUCACGAUUGAAGAGAUAAAUGAAGUUCGAGAAAAGUUGGCAAACUUCAUUUCUAGUGAUUGUCUUUGAUAUUUUCUUGUAGUGAAUUUUAGUAUUGUUUUUGAUAUUUCCUUGUAAUGAAUUUUAGGUUACGGAUGCUAGUUUUUUAUGACUGUUAUGUAAUCGAGUUUUCAACUGUAUAAUUUACUUAGGUUAAAUUGUUUUUUACCACCUAAAAAAAUUGGAAAAUUAUUUUUUACCACCUAAAAAAAUAAAAGUAGUUUUUUACCACCUAAAAAUAAAAUAAAAAUUGUCUUUUACCACCUCUUAACUACAAAAUGGAUGAAAACGUUAUGUGAAUUAAUGGGAAGGGAAAAUGGUAACUCAUUUGCAUAAAAAUCGUGGGAGAAGAGAAGGAAACAAAAAAUAUAGUCGGUGAAAUGGAUCUGCAUAGCAUUUUCUUGCAUUUUUUCGGUUAAGAGGUGG